AUAUCCGUGCUUCCUCUCAACAGCAGGUAUAUGGAUCUGCAUGCGAGUUACCAGCAGAAAGUUAGGACAAAGAUAUAUUCAUAACUAGCCGUCAAAUAGUUAGCAAAAGGAGGAACCAUGUCAUGGAAAAGAAAAGGAUUUUCCCUAAAUUGCAGUCUCCGGUAUUCAUCUGUUUCAGCAUCGGUCAUGACAUCAGAUGACACGUUUUGCCCCAAAUCCCAUGCUUUCAUCACUUUCAAGGCAGCACUUCCCCACAGG